rnacentral:rRNA from 1 species
AACGAACGCUGGCGGCAUGCCUAACACAUGCAAGUCGAACGAGACCUUCGGGUCUAGUGGCGCACGGGUGCGUAACGCGUGGGAACCUUCCCUUAGGUUCGGAAUAACUCCCCGAAAGGGGUGCUAAUACCGGAUAAUGUCUUCGGACCAAAGAUUUAUCGCCUUUGGAUGGGCCCGCGUUGGUUUAGCUGGUUGGUAGGGUAAAAGCCUACCAAGGCGACGAUCCAUAGCUUGUCUGAGAGGAUGAUCAGCCACAAUGGGACUGAGAAACGGCCCAGACUCCUACGGGAGGCAGCAGUGGGGAAUAUUGGACAAUGGGCGAAAGCCUGAUCCAGCAAUGCCGCGUGAGUGAUGAAGGCCUUAGGGUUGUAAAGCUCUUUUACCCGGGAUGAUAAUGACAGUACCGGGAGAAUAAGCUCCGGCUAACUCCGUG